UCAGAAGAAGAAAAAAUUCCCAUACACACAGAACAGAGACAAUUUUUUUUUUUAUCACCGCCGUCGUUGGUCGAUCACAUCACAGACCAAAUUGAAGAUGACCACGGUAGCUUGCCGCAGAAAAAAAAAUCCUCGAUAUAAAAAAAAGAAAUUGAAAUUGAAAAAAAAAGAAAUUCAAGUCCCAAAAUUUUCUUAUGAUGAUCUGUGUGAAACCCGUUAUUCACCCAUUACGAAAAAAAACAACGUAAGUGUUUAGAAAGAUUCGAUGAUUUGAAUUUGAACUCUUUACCAUCACCAAUAAUCAACCGUUUGAUUUGUGUUCAGACGAUGAUGUUGAAAAUUUUUUCACUUGUUGAUCAUUUUU